rnacentral:rRNA from 1 species
CUUCGGGUAAUGAGGAUGGCGGACGGGUGAGUAACGCGUAAGGAACUUGCCUCUUGGACUGGGACAACUGUUGGAAACGACAGCUAAUACCGGAUAUUAUGAGAUUCUCGCAUGAGAAACUUAUGAAAGCUAUAUGCGCCAAGAGAGAGCCUUGCGUUCCAUUAGCUAGUUGGUGGGGUAACGGCCCACCAAGGCGACGAUGGAUAGCCGGCCUGAGAGGGUGAACGGCCACAAGGGGACUGAGACACGGCCCUUACUCCUACGGGAGGCAGCAGUGGGGAAUAUUGGACAAUGGGCCACAAGCCUGAUCCAGCAAUUCUGUGUGCACGAUGAAGGUCUUCGGAUUGUAAAGUGCUUUCAGUUGGGAAGAAGAAAGUGACGGUACCAACAGAAGAAGCGACGGCUAAAUACGUGCCAGCAGCCGCGGUAAUACGUAUGUCGCAAGCGUUAUCCGGAUUUAUUGGGCGUAAAGCGCGUCUAGGCGGAAAAAUAAGUCUGAUGUUAAAAUGCGGGGCUCAACUCCGUAUUGCGUUGGAAACUGUUUUUCUAGAGUACUGGAGAGGUGGGCGGAACUACAAGUGUAGAGGUGAAAUUCGUAGAUAUUUGUAGGAAUGCCGAUGGAGAAGUCAGCUCACUGGACAGAUACUGACGCUGAAGCGCGAAAGCGUGGGGAGCAAAC